CACCUUCCCCGGACGCACCUGCAAGCGGAAGAGCGAGACGAGCUCCCGCAGCUGCCCGGCAGACCGCCGCGGCUCCACCCUGCUUGCCGGUGCCGGGCAGGCCCUGCGGUGCCGGGAAGCGAGGCGCACUGAAGCCCGCGGCCGCGGGGACCGAGAGGGGCCCACCCUCAGGAGUCCUCGGCCCCGGGGGGGACCCUGCGCUGAGCCCACAGAGCCUAGCGAGAGCCCUGUCCCGACCACUACAAAACACCAAAGCUUUGCUCUGCUUCCUGUAUUGAUUCCCCAGCACGCCAGCUUUCUCAGACCUCCAAGCUGAAGGGUACUUCCCUCCCCUCACCCGACCACCCUGAUGACCUCAAAGUCCACGUCACAGAAAACGUUAAGGCCACUGAACACACACAGAUUCUCCAGGCCCAUCUCAACAUUUUGUGGGGGUCGAGGCCUUUAGGCAUCAUACCAGAAAGGACAGGCCUUUCAACUUUGAACCAGGAUGGUUUCAGCUUGAAGUAACAGAAAAAUCCAUCUCAAACUGACUCAUCAAUACGGAUAUUUAUUAUCUCAUAUAACAAGAAAUCUACAAGCGGGGCAGCACCAGUUCUGAUUGAUUUACUGACUAAACAACAACAUCACAGACCCAGGGUCAUUCUGACUCUUUACUGUGCCAUCAUCGGUGUGCUGGCUUCCUAAAGGGCCACUUUCAGAUAACACGGCCAGAUGCAACAACAUCAGUGGAGAUGGUGGCAUGUUUCCCUAUAUGUCUCUGUUGAAGAGCAAGAAAAUCUUUCCCGGAAGGCUUUCACAGACCUCUCCUCAGGUCUCACAUACCAGAACUGGUUUGCAUGCCCACCCCAACUUCUCACUGGCCAGUCAAAAGGAUCUUGCCCGUGAUAGUUUAGGAGUGUACCUCUGAGAUGGUAAUAGGGUCGCCUUCCCUAAUAGGUAAACACGGCUAUACAGACUUCUGUAAAGAAGGAAGAGACGUGAAUGGAUGUUGAGUAUCUGCUAUAUGUUCCUAAUGAGGUAUACUACAUAUUCCACUGUGAAUAAUGAAAAUAUUUCAUUAUAACUGCCA